GAUGAACGCUGGCGGCGUGCCUAAUACAUGCAAGUCGAGCGAACAGACGAGAAGCUUGCUUCUCUGAUGUUAGCGGCGGACGGGUGAGUAACACGUGGAUAACCUACCUAUAAGACUGGGAUAACUUCGGGAAACCGGAGCUAAUACCGGAUAAUAUUUUGAACCGCAUGGUUCAAAAGUGAAAGACGGUCUUGCUGUCACUUAUAGAUGGAUCCGCGCUGCAUUAGCUAGUUGGUAAGGUAACGGCUUACCAAGGCAACGAUGCAUAGCCGACCUGAGAGGGUGAUCGGCCACACUGGAACUGAGACACGGUCCAGACUCCUACGGGAGGCAGCAGUAGGGAAUCUUCCGCAAUGGGCGAAAGCCUGACGGAGCAACGCCGCGUGAGUGAUGAAGGUCUUCGGAUCGUAAAACUCUGUUAUUAGGGAAGAACAUAUGUGUAAGUAACUGUGCACAUCUUGACGGUACCUAAUCAGAAAGCCACGGUUAACUACGUGCCAGCAGCCGCGGUAAUACGUAGGUGGCAAGCGUUAUCCGGAAUUAUUGGGCGUAAAGCGCGCGUAGGCGGUUUUUUAAGUCUGAUGUGAAAGCCCACGGCUCAACCGUGGAGGGUCAUUGGAAACUGGAAAACUUGAGUGCAGAAGAGGAAAGUGGAAUUCCAUGCGUAGCGGUGAAAUGCGCAGAGAUAUGGAGGAACACCAGUGGCGAAGGCGCCUUUCUGGUCUGUAACUGACGCUGAUGUGCGAAAGCGUGGGGAUCAAACAGGAUUAGAUACCCUGGUAGUCCACGCCGUAAACGAUGAGUGCUAAGUGUUAGGGGGUUUCCGCCCCUUAGUGCUGCAGCUAACGCAUUAAGCACUCCGCCUGGGGAGUACGACCGCAAGGUUGAAACUCAAAGGAAUUGACGGGGACCCGCACAAGCGGUGGAGCAUGUGGUUUAAUUCGAAGCAACGCGAAGAACCUUACCAAAUCUUGACAUCCUUUGACAACUCUAGAGAUAGAGCUUUCCCCUUCGGGGGACAAAGUGACAGGUGGUGCAUGGUUGUCGUCAGCUCGUGUCGUGAGAUGUUGGGUUAAGUCCCGCAACGAGCGCAACCCUUAAGCUUAGUUGCCAUCAUUAAGUUGGGCACUCUAAGUUGACUGCCGGUGACAAACCGGAGGAAGGUGGGGAUGACGUCAAAUCAUCAUGCCCCUUAUGAUUUGGGCUACACACGUGCUACAAUGGACAAUACAAAGGGCAGCGAAACCGCGAGGUCAAGCAAAUCCCAUAAAGUUGUUCUCAGUUCGGAUUGUAGUCUGCAACUCGACUACAUGAAGCUGGAAUCGCUAGUAAUCGUAGAUCAGCAUGCUACGGUGAAUACGUUCCCGGGUCU
rnacentral:rRNA from 1 species